AAAUUGAAGAGUUUGAUCAUGGCUCAGAUUGAACGCUGGCGGCAGGCCUAACACAUGCAAGUCGAACGGUAGCACAGAGAGCUUGCUCUCGGGUGACGAGUGGCGGACGGGUGAGUAAUGUCUGGGAAACUGCCCGAUGGAGGGGGAUAACUACUGGAAACGGUAGCUAAUACCGCAUAACGUCGCAAGACCAAAGUGGGGGACCUUCGGGCCUCACACCAUCGGAUGUGCCCAGAUGGGAUUAGCUAGUAGGUGGGGUAACGGCUCACCUAGGCGACGAUCCCUAGCUGGUCUGAGAGGAUGACCAGCCACACUGGAACUGAGACACGGUCCAGACUCCUACGGGAGGCAGCAGUGGGGAAUAUUGCACAAUGGGCGCAAGCCUGAUGCAGCCAUGCCGCGUGUAUGAAGAAGGCCUUCGGGUUGUAAAGUACUUUCAGCGAGGAGGAAGGCGUUGUGGUUAAUAACCACAGCGAUUGACGUUACUCGCAGAAGAAGCACCGGCUAACUCCGUGCCAGCAGCCGCGGUAAUACGGAGGGUGCAAGCGUUAAUCGGAAUUACUGGGCGUAAAGCGCACGCAGGCGGUUUGUUAAGUCAGAUGUGAAAUCCCCGGGCUCAACCUGGGAACUGCAUUUGAAACUGGCAAGCUUGAGUCUCGUAGAGGGGGGUAGAAUUCCAGGUGUAGCGGUGAAAUGCGUAGAGAUCUGGAGGAAUACCGGUGGCGAAGGCGGCCCCCUGGACAAAGACUGACGCUCAGGUGCGAAAGCGUGGGGAGCAAACAGGAUUAGAUACCCUGGUAGUCCACGCCGUAAACGAUGUCUACUUGGAGGUUGUGCCCUUGAGGCGUGGCUUCCGGAGCUAACGCGUUAAGUAGACCGCCUGGGGAGUACGGCCGCAAGGUUAAAACUCAAAUGAAUUGACGGGGGCCCGCACAAGCGGUGGAGCAUGUGGUUUAAUUCGAUGCAACGCGAAGAACCUUACCUGGUCUUGACAUCCACGGAAGUUUUCAGAGAUGAGAAUGUGCCUUCGGGAACCGUGAGACAGGUGCUGCAUGGCUGUCGUCAGCUCGUGUUGUG
rnacentral:rRNA from 3 species